UACGUAGGGACCAAGCGUUGUUCGGAUUUACUGGGCGUAAAGGGCGCGUAGGCGGCAAUUCAAGUCAUCUGUGAAAUCUCCGGGACUUAACCCGGAACGGUCAGGUGAUACUGUUUGCUAGAGUGCGGAAGGGGCAAUCGGAAUUCUCGGUGUAGCGGUGAAAUGCGUAGAGUAUCGAGAGGAACACCAGAGGUGAAGACGGGUGCUGGGCCGACACUGACGCUGACAGCGGACGAAAGCCCAGGGGAGGCAAAACGGG
rnacentral:rRNA from 1 species